CCAGCACUGCAGUCGGUUCCUCCAGGAGAAGCAGUGAAUCUUCAGUGUACGGUUCUCUCUGAGAUCAGAUCAGCAGAACUGAGAGUGUUCUGGAUCAGAUCUGCUGCAGGAUCAUCCUUUCCUGAAAUCAUCUUCACUCAUCACAACAGCAGCAGCAGCAGCAGCAGCAGCAGCAGCAGCAGCCGUCAGUGUGAGAUCAGCUCUUCUAAACACAGCAGUGUGUACAACUUCUCCACCAACAUCCCCAACAACCACCAUGCUGCAACUUACUACUGCGCUGUGGAGGCCUGUGGGAGGAUCAUUAUUGGCAAUGGGACAACAGUAUGCUUGAACAAACUUCAGGAGGGUGCUGUUAAUGAGAGAGCUCCAAACCAGAACCAUAAAGAUGAUGAAGUGAAUUACGCUCCAAUACGAAUUACUGACAAGAAAACCUCCAGAGUGAAGAAGGAGAAGCCUGAAGAAUUGGUUUACUCUCAAGUCUCCCAUGCAGCCGCUUAUCGCUCACGACGCUAGAAACUAAAGUUCUGAGGCUUUAUUUUUAUAUGAGAACCAUCUGAGAUUUUUAAUUCUG